UAGUGGGUGAAAGUCCCACCCUGGCAAUUGGCCUGUUUGGCCAGGUAGCGAGGAGUGCACCUGUAGGGAGUAAUUCUUGCAGGUGAAGCCACUCGACAACAGCUCUGUAAGGAGCUACGCAAACUGCGGGCCGUACGAAA
rfam:Candidatus Caedibacter acanthamoebae, complete genome.